CCUACGGGCGGCAGCAGUGGGGAAUAUUGGGCAAUGGGCGCAAGCCUGACCCAGCAACGCCGCGUGAAGGAAGAAGGCUUUCGGGUUGUAAACUUCUUUUGUCAGGGACGAAGCAAGUGACGGUACCUGACGAAUAAGCCACGGCUACCUACGUGCCAGCAGCCGCGGUGAUACGGAGGUGGCAAGCGUUAUCCGGAUUUACUGGGUGUAAAGGGCGUGUAGGCGGGACUGCAAGUCAGAUGUGAAAACCACGGGCUCAACCUGUGGGCUGCAUUUGAAACUGUAGUUCUUGAGUACUGGAGAGGCAGACGGAAUUCCUAGGGUAGCGGUGAAAUGCGUAGAGAUUAGGAGGAACACCAGUGGCGAAGGCGGUCUGCUGGACAGCAACUGACGCUGAGGCGCGAAAGCGUGGGGAGCAAACAGGAUUAGAUACCCCGGUAGUC
rnacentral:rRNA from 1 species